rnacentral:miRNA from 3 species
GAGGGCUGGGUCUUUGCGGGCGAGAUGAGGGUGUCGGUUCAACUGGCCUACAAAGUCCCAGUCCUCGGC